GCAUAUCAAUAAGCGGAGGAAAAGAAACCAACAGGGAUUGCCCCAGUAACGGCGAGUGAAGCGGCAACAGCUCAAAUUUGAAAUCUGGCCCCCAGGGCCCGAGUUGUAAUUUGCAGAGGAUGCUUUUGGCGAGGUGCCUUCCGAGUUCCCUGGAACGGGACGCCAUAGAGGGUGAGAGCCCCGUCUGGUUGGAUACCGAGCCUCUGUAAAGCUCCUUCGACGAGUCGAGUAGUUUGGGAAUGCUGCUCUAAAUGGGAGGUAUAUGUCUUCUAAAGCUAAAUAUUGGCCAGAGACCGAUAGCGCACAAGUAGAGUGAUCGAAAGAUGAAAAGCACUUUGAAAAGAGGGUUAAAAAGUACGUGAAAUUGUUGAAAGGGAAGCACUCAUGACCAGACUUGGCCCCGGUGAAUCACCCAGCGUUCUUCGCUGGGGCACUUUGCCGGGGUCAGGCCAGCAUCAGUUCGCGCCGGGGGACAAAGACUUCGGGAAUGUGGCUCCUCCGGGAGUGUUAUAGCCCGUUGUGCAAUACCCUGGGGCGGACUGAGGUUCGCGCAUUUUAUGCAAGGAUGCUGGCGUAAUGGUCAUCAGUGACCCGUCUUGAAACACGGACCAAGGAGUCGUCUUCGUAUGCGAGUGUUCGGGUGCAAAGCCCCUACGCGUAAUGAAAGUGAACGCAGGUGAGAGCUUCGGCGCAUCAUCGACCGAUCCUGAUGUUCUCGGAUGGAUUUGAGUAAGAGCAUACGGGGCCGGACCCGAAAGAAGGUGAACUAUGCUUGAAUAGGGUGAAGCCAGGGGAAACCCUGGUGGAGGCUCGCAGCGGUUCUGACGUGCAAAUCGAUCGUCAAAUUUGAGCAUGGGGGGCGAAAGACUAAUCGAACCUUCUAGUAGCUGGUUUCCGCCGA
rnacentral:rRNA from 1 species